rnacentral:rRNA from 1 species
UACGUAGGGGGGCAAGCGUUGUCCGGAAUCAUUGGGCGUAAAGAGCGUGUAGGCGGCUCGGUAAGUCCGCUGUGAAAGUCCAGGGCUCAACCCUGGAAUGCCGGUGGAUACUGUCGAGCUCGAGUCCGGAAGAGGCGAGUGGAAUUCCUGGUGUAGCGGUGGAAUGCGCAGAUAUCAGGAGGAACACCAAUAGCGAAGGCAGCUCGCUGGGACGUUACUGACACUGAGGCGCGAAAGCGUGGGGAGCGAACAGG